rnacentral:rRNA from 1 species
UACGUAGGUGGCGAGCGUUAUCCGGAAUUACUGGGCGUAAAGGGCGUGUAGGCGGCACUUUAAGUCAGGUGUGAAAUCUCCCGGCUCAACCGGGGGCGUGCAUCUGAUACUGCAAUACUUGAGUGCUAGAGGGGAGAGUAGAAUUCCUAGUGUAGCGGUAAAAUGCGUAGAUAUGAGGAGGAAUACCAGUGGCGAAGGCAGC